rnacentral:rRNA from 1 species
UACGAAGGGGGCUAGCGUUGUUCGGAAUCACUGGGCGUAAAGGGCGCGUAGGCGGCUUUAUAAGUCGGGGGUGAAAGCCUGUGGCUCAACCACAGAAUUGCCUUCGAUACUGUAGAGCUUGAGACCGGAAGAGGUAAGUGGAACUGCGAGUGUAGAGGUGAAAUUCGUAGAUAUUCGGAAGAACACCAGUGGCGAAGGCGGCUCGCUGGACAGGUAUUGACGCUGAGGUGCGAAAGCGUGGGGAGCAAACAGGG